rnacentral:rRNA from 1 species
CAGUCGUACCUAUGGGUAAUCAGCCUUUUGGGUGUGAUUUUGUGGAGCGUGAGGAGUUAAACGCCUUCAUGCUUUGCAUAUUCGUGCUCUUGGGUGUACUUGCUUGUAUGGUUGGUUAACAUCAAUUUUGGUGGUCAUAAAAUGACUGGA